rnacentral:rRNA from 1 species
GAUGAACGCUGGCGGCGUGCCUAAUACAUGCAAGUCGAGCGAACGGACGAGAAGCGGGCUUCUCUGAUGUUAGCGGCGGACGGGUGAGUAACACGUGGAUAACCUACCUAAAGGAUGGGGCUACUUCGGGGAACCUGAUCCUAGAACUGUGGAUCUUUUGCACCGCAUGGGUUGAAAAGGUAAGGCGGUUUUGGUUUCACUUACAGACUGAUCCCGGCUGCAUUAGCUAGUUGGCAAGGUAACGGGCUACCAAGGCCACGACUCAUAGCCGACCUGAGAGGGUGGUCGGCCACACUGGAGCUGGGACACGGUCCAGACUCCUACGGGAGGCAGCAGUAGGGAAUCUUCCGCAAUGGGCGAGAGCCUGGCGGAGCAACGCCGCGUGAGUGAUGGAGGUCUUCGGAUCGUAAAGCUCUGUUAUUGGGGAAGAACAUAUGUGUGAGUAACUGUGCACAUCUUGACGGUACCUAGUCAGAGAGCCACGGCUAACUACGUG